GACGAACGCUGGCGGCGUGCUUAACACAUGCAAGUCGAACGGAAAGGCCUGUCCUUCCUUGUGUUGGACGGGUACUCGAGUGGCGAACGGGUGAGUAACACGUGAGUGAUCUGCCCCCAACUUGGGUAUAAGCCUGGGAAACUGGGUCUAAUUCCCGAUAGGACUGCAGGGUGGUGCCUGUGGUGGAAAACGAUUUUCUAGUGGUUGGGGAUGAGCUCGCGGCCUAUCAGCUUGUUGGUGGGGUAAUGGCCUACCAAGGCGGCGACGGGUAGCCGGCCUGAGAGGGUGGACGGCGACAUUGGGACUGAGAUACGGCCCAGACUCCUACGGGAGGCAGCAGUGGGGAAUAUUGCACAAUGGGAGGAAGCCUGAUGCAGCGACGCAGCGUGGGGGAUGACGGCCUUCGGGUUGUAAACUCCUUUCGACCGCGAGGAAGCCGCCUGGUUGGAAGGGUGGUGACGGUAGUGGUAGAAGAAGCACCGGCUAACUACGUG
rnacentral:rRNA from 1 species